rnacentral:tRNA from 1 species
GCCGAAGUGGUGAAAUUGGUAGACACGCUACCUUGAGGGGGUAGUGGGCGUAUGCCCGUGCGAGUUCGAGUCUCGCCUUCGGCACCA